GACGAACGCUGGCGGCGUGCUUAACACAUGCAAGUCGAACGGAAAGGCCCUGCUUUUGUGGGGUGCUCGAGUGGCGAACGGGUGAGUAACACGUGAGUAACCUGCCCUUGAAUUUGGGAUAACUUCAGGAAAAUGGGGCUAAUAUCGGAUAGGAGCUCCUGCUGCAUGGUGGGGGAUGGAAAGUUUCGGCGGUUGGGGAUGGACUCGCGGCUUAUCAGCUUGUUGGUGGGGUAGUGGCUUACCAAGGCUUUGACGGGUAGCCGGCCUGAGAGGGUGACCGGCCACAUUGGGACUGAGAUACGGCCCAGACUCCUACGGGAGGCAGCAGUGGGGAAUAUUGCACAAUGGGCGGAAGCCUGAUGCAGCAACGCCGCGUGCGGGAUGACGGCCUUCGGGUUGUAAACCGCUUUCGCCUGUGACGAAGCGUGAUUGACGGUAAUGGGUAAAGAAGCACCGGCUAACUACGUG
rnacentral:rRNA from 1 species